rnacentral:rRNA from 1 species
CCUACGGGCGGCAGCAGUAGGGAAUCUUCCACAAUGGGCGAAAGCCUGAUGGAGCAACGCCGCGUGGGUGAAGAAGGUCUUCGGAUCGUAAAACCCUGUUGUUAGAGAAGAAAGUGCGUGAGAGUAACUGUUCACGUUUCGACGGUAUCUAACCAGAAAGCCACGGCUAACUACGUGACAGCAGCCGCGGUAAUACGUAGGUGGCAAGCGUUAUCCGGAUUUAUUGGGCGUAAAGGGAACGCAGGCGGUCUUUUAAGUCUGAUGUGAAAGCCUUCGGCUUAACCGGAGUAGUGCAUUGGAAACUGGGAGACUUGAGUGCAGAAGAGGAGAGUGGAACUCCAUGUGUAGCGGUGAAAUGCGUAGAUAUAUGGAAGAACACCAGUGGCGAAAGCGGCUCUCUGGUCUGUAACUGACGCUGAGGUUCGAAAGCGUGGGUAGCAAACAGGAUUAGAUACCCCAGUAGUC